GGAUCAAUAUGUUGGACGUGCCUUGGUACGUACUAGUUUAUUGGUUCCUUCCUUCUGACGAACCAUGAUGUCAUUAAUUUGGUAUCUUGGGGAAUCAGGACUGUUACUUUGAAAAAAUUAGAGUGUUUAAAGCAGGCUCACGCUUGAAUACAUUGGCAUGGAAUAAUGAAAUAGGACGUUUGAUUCUAUUUUGUUGGUUUCUAGGAUCGACGUA
rnacentral:rRNA from 1 species